AUACGGAGGAUCCGAGCGUUAUCCGGAUUUAUUGGGUUUAAAGGGAGCGUAGGUGGAUUGUUAAGUCAGUUGUGAAAGUUUGCGGCUCAACCGUAAAAUUGCAGUUGAAACUGGCAGUCUUGAGUACAGUAGAGGUGGGCGGAAUUCGUGGUGUAGCGGUGAAAUGCUUAGAUAUCACGAAGAACUCCGAUUGCGAAGGCAGCUCACUAGACUGUUACUGACACUGAUGCUCGAAAGUGUGGGUAUCAAACAGGAUUAGAUACCCUGGUAGUCCACACAGUGAACGAUGAAUACUCGCCGUUUGCGAUAUACAGUAAGCGGCCAAGCGAAAGCAUUAAGUAUUCCACCUGGGGAGUACGCCGGCAACGGUGAAACUCAAAUGAAUUGACGGGG
rnacentral:rRNA from 1 species